GACGAACGAAGUUAAGGGUUGGUUUUGUCUCGUCAGGUCGACAACUGAACUGGGGCGGCGGUGGUUAAGUGGUGGCAGCAGCAGCGGCGGCGGCGGCCCCGAGGGAAGAGGACGAGGGGCGAUGGGUGAGGGGACGGGAGUCUUUGUCAAUUAAGUCUACUUUUGGUUACCUAGUAGACGGUUCUCAGUCCUUUAGCCCAGUUUUUCUUUCACCUUCUUGGUUGUACUUGUAUGUCGCUUCGUCUAGCGUACCGUAAGGAAACCCAUGGUUCCGGUGAUAGGCGUUGUCUCCGGACGUGCCCUACCACGAAGUGAGUGGGGGAACGGUCCCUCCGUUUUACUAAAGGUACAAAGUCCUCUAGCUAAGAAAGACUGCAGGUCGGGUAUGGUUGUUCUAGACCUUUCAUCCAUGUAGGUCCUGUUUUACUUGCCACAUUAGUGAACAAACCAGACACCGUCGGUUCCUGUAAUGUCAAGACUCACGGUAAAGUUCCUGGUUCUCGUGUUUUAGUAAACGCGUCAGACAUCGUUUUUACCGGUGACAUCGUACACCACAACGGUCGUCUUGUUCAACCUCUUAGCGCGAACGUGGGCGACACCUCUCUAUCCCGUAUGAUGGUCAUGUGUACCAGAGCCAACGAGUUCGACACUGCUCAUAGUACUGCUACCUCUCACGGCAAAUUCGGUUCAAUUUACGAAAUAGACACUUACAGUUCUAGUAAUAGAACGAGUCACGGGGAACUUAAGUCAUAACUGACUCCGUAAAGUCCCAGUCUCUGCCUUGAAGGUUCGGCGAGACGCCGAACGUGAUAGUUUUGUUGCGUUGGGUAGUAGAUGUGGACGGUUCAUAAUGCGUUUUAGUCUUCCUCUUCAUGACUGGCGGUUGUUCAGAUCAGGUUAAACGAAAUGUACGGCACUUCUUCCAGUGAAACGGAAAGUCACAGGAGUCUUGUCGGGGCCGGUCAGGCUUCUUGAACUUCUCUCGUUGUGAUAUCGAUGUAGGCGGUUGGACAGGCUUCUUAAUCUUCUUGCCCUGGGACUAUGUCCAUGACGAUUUGUUAGUAGUCUUUCCUUCGGCUAUAACAUGCUAGUCACAACGGGGAGUUUUCGUUUUCAUGACUGGGGGUUGUUCAGAUCAGGUUACCAAUCUUGUACAUUUUGUUUUUGUCUUCCCUUCUUUUCCUACACGAAAUGUACGGCACUUCUUCCAGUGAUACGGACAUACACAGGCGUCUUCGAGCCUCGAUAUAGACCGUUGUGCAGUUUUCUUAAUCUUCUCUCGUCGUGAUAUGGAUGUAGGAGGUUGUACAGGUUUCAUAACCUUCUUGUCCCGGGACCAUGACGAUUUGUAAGUAGUCUGUACUUCACCCAACAAGCUACACAAUCGACACCAGUCCUUCCCGUGUCCCGGUCCUCGACAGGUUGUGCUCACAAAUAUACGAGGAAUACGUUACUUCUUCCGGUGUUUCGGUUCUUUACGGGAGUCUUCCCGGUCUUUAGUAGUCUUUACUUCGCAUUUAGCUUACAGGCUACACAUUCCACACCGAACCUUCCCGUGUCCGCGUUUUGUAGUUAGUAUCUGGCAGGCGUUCAGAUCAGGAAACCAAUGUCAUCUGUUGUGUAGUUGUGUUCACCAAUGUACGAAGGCAACGUUCCUUCUUCCGGUGACACGGUUAGCUACGGGAGUCUUCGUGGUCUUCGCAAUUCUGACAAGGUCGUUCUCGAUAGCGAUUUCGUUUGUCGUAAUGUAAAAGUUAGUGCGGCUCUUCGUCGAACCCUUCUCUAGAACCGUGACUUCUAUGUUGGUUCCCCUUUCUAUGAGUGACUCGACUCGGUCUGGAGGAGGGAACUGAUUUUUCAAUGACGUGUCAAUGGCAGAAAAAGAAAUCUAUGAGAUCGCCAACUUUUCAAAGGUUCCUUCCCGUAAAAUAUAGUACACAAAAACCUUACAGAAAGAGACUCUACUACAACCACGGUUAACUGCUAGACUACUCUUCUGUAAGGGUUCUACCCUAAGUGUUGGUGAACGUAACACGUUCAGAUGACCGUAUAAGAAACCAUCAUUUACGAAGAGGUAUGAAGUACAUGAACUACUUAUUCACAUGCCCUAUGUAGACCCCGUAGUCAUCUGUCGUGUCUCCUACCUUUCACCUUUGAGCGGCACACAUUAAGCUUAAUAGGCCGCAAGCAUAAAACGAGUGAUCCAAACUACCGAACAGACAUAUUCCCGACUUUGACACACGAGAACUCCCGAGUAGAAACUCUCACCCCACAAAACCUCGGGGAAAGACACAAAAAAAAACUUUUUUUAAC
rnacentral:rRNA from 1 species